GACGAACGCUGGCGGCGUGCUUAACACAUGCAAGUCGAGCGGUAAGGCCCUUUCGGGGGUACACGAGCGGCGAACGGGUGAGUAACACGUGGGUGACCUGCCCUCAGCUCUGGGAUAAGCCCGGGAAACUGGGUCUAAUACUGGAUAUGACUCCAUGACGCAUGUUGUGGGGUGGAAAGCCUUGUGCGGCUGAGGAUGGGCCCGCGGCCUAUCAGCUUGUUGGUGGGGGAUGGCCUACCAAGGCGACGACGGGUAGCCGGCCUGAGAGGGCGACCGGCCACACUGGGACUGAGACACGGCCCAGACUCCUACGGGAGGCAGCAGUGGGGAAUCUUGCGCAAUGGGCGAAAGCCUGACGCAGCGACGCCGCGUGAGGGAUGACGG
rnacentral:rRNA from 1 species